UACGUAGGGGGCAAGCGUUGUUCGGAAUUACUGGGCGUAAAGCGUGCGCAGGCGGUUAUGUAAGACAGGUGUGAAAAUCCCCGGGCUUAACCUGGGAACUGCAUUUGUGACUGCAUAGCUAGAGUACGGUAGAGGGGGAUGGAAUUCCGCGUGUAGCAGUGAAAUGCGUAGAUAUGACGGAGGAACACCGAUGGCGAAGGCAAUCCCCUGGACCUGUACUGACGCUCAUGCACGAAAGCGUGGGGAGCAAACAGG
rnacentral:rRNA from 1 species